GCCAGGCGCAGUGGCGCGUACCUGUAUUCGGGCUGCUGAGUUGGGAGGAUCGCUUGAGUCCAGGAGUUCUGGGCUGUAGUGUGCUAUGUUGAUCGCAUGUCCGCAUAAGUUCGGCAUCAAUUUGGUGACCUCUCAGGAGCAGGGGACCACCAGGUUGCCUAAAGAGGGGUGAACCAGUCCAGGUCGGAAACGGAGCAGGUCAGAACUCCUGUGCUGAUCAGUAGUGGGAUUGCGCCUAUGAAUAGCCACUGCACUCCAGCCUCGGCAGCAUAGCGAGACCACAUCUCUA
rnacentral:SRP_RNA from 1 species